rnacentral:rRNA from 1 species
GAGUCGAGUUGUUUGGGAAUGCUGCUCAAAAUGGGAGGUAAACCCCUUCUAAAGCUAAAUACUGGCCAGAGACCGAUAGCGCACAAGUAGAGUGAUCGAAAGAUGAAAAGCACUUUGAAAAGAGAGUUAAAAAGCACGUGAAAUUGUUGAAAGGGAAGCGUUUGCGACCAGACUUGCGCCCGUCGAAUCAACCGUCCCUCGUGGGCGGCGCACUUCGGCGGGCUCAGGCCAGCAUCAGUUCGCUGUAGGGGGAGAAAAGCGGUGGGAAUGUGGCUCUUCGGAGUGUUAUAGCCCGCCGCAUAAUACCCCUCGGCGGACUGAGGACCGCGCUUUUGCAAGGAUGCUGGCGUAAUGGUCGUCAGCGACCCGUCUUGAAACA